CAGGCCUAACACAUGCAAGUCGAGCGGUAGAGAGGUGCUUGCAUCUCUUGAGAGCGGCGGACGGGGUGAGUAAUGCCUAGGAAUCUGCCGUGGUGGUGGGGGAUAACGUUCGGAAACGGACGCUAAUACCGCAUACGUCCUACGGGAGAAAGCGGGGGAUCUUCGGACCUCGCGCCAUUAGAUGAGCCUAGGUCGGAUUAGCUAGUUGGUGAGGUAAUGGCUCACCAAGGCGACGAUCCGUAACUGGUCUGAGAGGAUGAUCAGUCACACUGGAACUGAGACACGGUCCAGACUCCUACGGGAGGCAGCAGUGGGGAAUAUUGGACAAUGGGCGAAAGCCUGAUCCAGCCAUGCCGCGUGUGUGAAGAAGGUCUUCGGAUUGUAAAGCACUUUAAGUUGGGAGGAAGGGUAGUAACCUAAUACGUUGCUACUUUGACGUUACCGACAGAAUAAGCACCGGCUAACUUCGUG
rnacentral:rRNA from 1 species